GGAGUGCAGCUGGUAGAGCAUGAGACUCUUAAUUUCAGGGCUGUGGGUUCAAGCCUCACUGUAGGCA